UCCUCCCCUCACGGCAAUCUCUCAAGCACAUCUCACCCCCUCCGCCGGGGGAAAAGCAGGCGGAGCGCAGGCGCGGAGAGGUCCUCGCGCUCUUUACUGAAUAACGGUUUUGGAGGAGGGGGGCGGCGGCGGCUGCAAAGUGUGUCCCAGGCACCGGGUGGGGGCGCUGGAGGCGGAGGUCUUGAUCCUGAUCUCCCGUCACGUACUGCAUUCAAAAUCUGGGUCGGGAGGGGAGAUGGAAAAUGUGCUGGAAAACCACAGCAGAUCUCGGAACUGAGAGGCCCCUCCCAGGGGUCUAGAUCUUCAUAUGGUGCCUGUGACUUGGAUACGGCGCAGAUGGAUUGUGGAUAACAGUGAGUCACUGACGUGAUCCAGACCAAUAGUAUGAACCAGUCCAGGAAGUUCCAGUCGCAAAUGAGGUGAGUGGUGGUUCUCUUGGGAGGCCAGAACCGGACUGAACCACGAUGCAAGUUACAGGUAAAACCAAUUAUAUCAGGCGCCCUCGUAAUCCCAGAUCCUAUAUGCCAACCAUGAUAGGGUUGAUUGGAACUCCAGGAUACCCACUGGGGACAGAACCUACCUCAGGUGCCCACCCGACGACCACUGCUGGGCAACCUUUUCCCGAGGGGACCCCGAAAAUGGGGACAGGCUGGCCCCAGCAUUUGACUUUUGAGACUGGGAACAAGACACCAAAACCCCCAGGGACAAAAGGCUGGCCCUUGUUUUAACCAUUGAAAUGUGGCCACUGGGGAGUGAUGUUUCUUUAAUGUUACCUUGCAGCUGACGUGGGGAAUCAACAUGCUUUCGUCCUAGCAAAAGGUAAAUCUACUAAUGUACGCUGACUCUUCAUUGUGCUUUUAAUAUGAUCCACGAUUUUGGAGCUUUGUGGGAACAUUGAAUAUUUUUAAACCCCAAGAGGCAGCAUUAUAGUAAAGCUGUUUUGUCCAAUCAAUCUGGCAAUUAUCAAGUUGUCGGCUCAUGCCGCGGACACUGAUACUGUUUCUAAAGUAGGCAAAUAGAUGCAGCUGCCAAGCAGGCAGCCUUACAUUCCAAACUUCUGGUCCCCCAGCAAAAACCUAAUUAGACACUGUAUAAAGACGGGUAUGCCAGACCUGGGUACGGUACAGAAAUCAUGGUAGAAGCCCCUACUGAAGAGCACAAACUGUGGCCUCAAAUAGGCCACUCCCUCAUUACUCAAACCAAAAUGUGGAUGACCCCCUACUGGACAAGUUUGUGUUUGUUCUUUGCUGCUGCCUAUUUUAAUUGAUUAUUUUGUAUACACUUAGGCAAGGGGGAAAUGGUUUAUACUUUAAUACAGUGGACACUCCGCGACCUCCAAUCUCAUUGGGAAGGACCCUUCCAGGAUUGGACAAUGGACUUCAACUUAUGAAUGAAGAUUUCUAGAAAUUUCACCUUGGAUGGAGGCAGUAACCAGGUUCCUGCAAUGUGCAGAUGAUCAGGAGCCAAGGGGUUGUUUACAAAUGAAGCUGAUUGCUUUUCAACUAACUGAGCAGAUUUCAACUGAAAACAACUGGCAGAGACUCAGACACUAAGAAAGGAAAAGAUACAGACGCAUGUCUUCCUGUUUUCCCCAGCAGAAGCUGCCUAUUCUCUGCAGUAAGAAAAUCUCAGUGAAAACUUGAUGAAAACGUUAUCUUCUUUGCAUCUGUUGCUGUAAACUGUGACUUUUGAAUUGAUAUAUCAGAGACAUUUUGUGCUGUACUUCUUAGAAACAAGUCGAAGCUUCGAGAAAAAAAUACAAUUUGAACACCAAGAGCUUUCAUCUCAACAUCAAAACUGGGGAGGAAAGCUGACUGGACUGACUUUUCUGUUUUUCUCAACUCUGUCAAUAAUUUAUUUUCCUAUUUGUUUGUAUGUGUCUGUGGAAAGAGGGGAUUUUUAAGAGGGUUAGGGAGAUUAUAAGGGAACAAUUAGUAUUAUAUGGUAAUUGUUUGUAUCUGUUUACUUGUGGCUAUAGGCUUAAAAAAAUAAUAAUUCUUGUUUAGUACCAAUACUGUACUUUCUGUCAAUAUUGAUCUGAAAAAUUAGGUAAAUUGGGGUACUGUGCACACCUUAAAAAACUAACACUUGAUAUGAUUCUAGGAAUAGUAGGAUUCCAUUUACAGUAUGCUAACUCAAUGACACCAUAGAACAUAGAACACAGAACAAUACAGCGCAGAACAGGCCCUUCGGCCCUUGAUGUUGAUCUGACCUGUGAACUAUUCUUAGCUUGUCCCCUACACUAUGCCAAAAUCAUCCAUGUGCUUAUCUAAGGAUUGUUUAAAUCUCCCUAUCAAUGACAUUAUCACAAUGCUACCACAUCCUACCAAGGCGUUGAAUAAAGCUCAUUUCAUAUAUUACCACCCAGUUGCAUAAAAGAUGCUUCAUUUUGUACUUUGCCAGUGGGCCACAAUUUCUUUUUUCAAAAUGCUUUGUCUCUGCAGAGAUAUAGAUCAAUUAUGGAUGUUUAUUUUUGGCAGUUGUCUGAUGCCACCAGCUGGUUGCAGAAUUAUUUUAAUGCUGACUUUGGAUUUACAAUUAGCUGAAUCUUGCUGGAAAAAUAAUGGAAGGUAAAAAUCAUAUUCCAUUAUUAAUAUGUAAGUUGUCCAGCAGAUUUAGGAGCUUAAGACAUACAUUGGAUUGUGGAUCUCCAGAACUUCCUGGUCAAUUGAUACAUUUCUACCUUUUAUUUCACAAAACAGUAUAUUGUGGUUUAUCUCCUUGAUGUUCUUAGAAGCUUGCUAGAAUUGCACAUUAAUUAUCUCUGAAAUUCAGUACGGACUAUUUGGCCUGCUUAAUUGCAUGAUAUUUUUGUAUGCAACACCCACCAACUCUGAGUCAGGAAGGAAUCAAUUUACAAAAUGCUUACAAAAAACAGAAAUUGCUGAAGAAACUCAGAAGUCUGGCAGCAUCUCUGGACAGAAAACAGAAUUAAUACUUUGAGUCCAGUGACACUUUUUCUAAACAUUAAAUUGUUAAUCCUCUUUCCUGUAUUGAUUUAAAUGUUAGAGAUUUUAAAUAUUUUUAACUUAUAGUUUUUUUUUCCUUUUUUUGUUUCCAUCUAUUUAUUUCUGAUCUUUCUUCUCUCUAUUUCUUUUUCACUGCUUGAUUUGAUUCUAAUUCACUAUGUUUCCUCUAUUUCUCACCCAAUACGUAAAUCUCAAUAGUUAAAGGGAAAACUUUAUCAGUCCUAUAGUUUGCUAAACUCACAGAUGCCCCAUUACUUUUGCCCCAAUAUUAUGAAAUCACACUUCUAGCAGAUUAUGACGUUAAUUUUUUUAUAGGUAAAAGCUGAAAAGGCUACUGUAAGAUUGCUUACUCCAGCAACAUACAUUACAAUGCAAAUUGUAUAAUGGUAUUGUAUUAAGUAAAGGUUGUAUGCAUUUAAACAUAAAAUAAUCCAAAUAUAUUCUGA